rnacentral:rRNA from 1 species
AUACGUAGGUGACAAGCGUUAUCCGGAUUUACUGGGCGUAAAGGGCGUGUAGGCGGUCUUGCAAGUCAGAAGUGAAAUUCCUGAGCUCAACUCGGGCGCUGCUUCUGAAACUGCAGGACUUGAGUGCUGGAGGGGAUAGCGGAAUUCCUAGUGGAGCGGUAAAAUGCGCAGAUAUUAGGAAGAACACCGGUGGCGAAGGCGGCUAUCUGGACAGUAACUGACGCUGAGGCGCGAAAGCGUGGGGAGCAAACAGGAUUAGAUCCCCUGGUAGUCCACGCUGUAAACGAUGAUUACUAGGUUUGGGGGGACUGACCCUUCCGUGCCGCAGUUAACACAAUAAGUAAUCCACCUGGGGAGUACGGCCGCAAGGUUGAAACUCAAAUGAAUUGGCGGGG